rnacentral:lncRNA from 1 species
CUGGAACAUCUUAUGGCUGCCUCUCUGGGAUCAUUACUGAGAUCAAUGACUCCUUCCCUCAUGUCUUCCACAUUCAGGAAGUUUAACAUCUGUGAAGCUGCUCAUCUGACGGCCCCAGAGAUUAAAGUCUGUUUAUUGGCAUAGGGGAGAGGCUGAGGCAGCCUAAAAUCUAGGCUAAUAUUAUCACCUUUGCCAUGCAUGUUUUUCCACAAUCUGGAGACCGGUGUACAUAAAGAAAAAGCAACAUCUGUGAUACUCCUUAUACUACUUUGUG